rnacentral:rRNA from 1 species
AUGAGAAACCACAAGGGUUGGAGUAAAAACAGCCGAAGAGAUAAGGUUAUCUUCCUUUUUCUCUCAAGAGCGGUUCCUGAUGGGGAUUUCUCCCGUAACCGCCAGCGUGCAGGAGACGGGAGGCGGCGCGGCGCACGGCCAUGGUGUGGGGCGCGUCGCAGAGCAGGCGGACGGGUGCGGGGCGCGUCGGGCUGGCACGACCAGGGGCCACGACUCUCCUUGGACCGAGGAUCCGGGCCGUGGCCCUUGCUGACGGAGCCACGGACGCCGGUGGAGGGCGGGUCGACGCGACCACGUAGCCGCCGUCGUGGGCUCUGCCACGCCGCGAUGAUGCAGGCUGCGGCCGCACAAUCAUCUUCAUACCUCCGCGGUCCAACGAUAGGACAGAUACGCACGACGACGAAUGUCCUUGUGGAGAAGAAAUUCAGUUCUUCUUCCACUUUUGAUUUUCCUCUCAUGGAGUUCACUGGAGUUGAAAAUCGCUGGAGUUGCCGCCGCUCUCCGCCGAGGGCACUGCAAUUCGUGUGGGCUCCUCCGACGUCUGGUACAGCAGUGACGCCGACCACCGCAAGGCAGCGGGCACCGCGCGUGGGAGGUGCCUGCCGGAUUUUACCAUGGGCAAUGGAUUUUGUGCGCCUGAGUCGCGCGAUCCUGUGGCCUAUUAGCUCAGCUGGUUAG